rnacentral:rRNA from 1 species
UACGUAGGGUGCGAGCGUUAAUCGGAAUUACUGGGCGUAAAGCGUGCGUAGGCGGUUCGCUGUGUCCGAUGUGAAAGCCCCGGGCUUAACCUGGGAAUGGCAUUGGAAACUGGCGGGCUUGAGUCCGGAAGAGGAGAGUGGAAUUCCUGGUGUAGCGGUGAAAUGCGCAGAUAUCAGGAGGAACACCAAUGGCGAAGGCAGCUCGCUGGGACGGUACUGACGCUGAGGCGCGAAAGCGUGGGGAGCAAACAGG